rnacentral:rRNA from 1 species
CCUACGGGAGGCAGCAGUGGGGGAUAUUGCACAAUGGGGGAAACCCUGAUGCAGCGACGCCGCGUGGGUGAAGAAGCGCCUCGGCGCGUAAAGCCCUGUCAGUAGGGAAGAAAAUGCCGGUACCUGAAGAAGAACACUCGGCCAACUACGUGCCAGCAGCCGCGGUAAUACGUCGGGGGAAAACGUUAUCCGGAUUUACUGGGGGUAAAGGGAACGUAGGCGGUGUUGCAAGUCUGAGGUGAAAGCCCAGGGUUUAACCCGGGGACUGCAUUGGAAGCUGUGGAGCUAGAGUGCUGAAGAGGUAAGUGGAAUUCCUAGUGUAGCGGUGAAAUGCGUAGAUAGUAGGAGGAACACCAGUGGCGAAGGCGGCUUACUGGACAGUAACUGACGUUGAGGCUCGAAAGCGUGGGGAGCAAACAGGAUUAGAUACCCCUGUAGUC